GGAAUAUAAGAAACCGUCUCUUAACUUUUAAUUAAAAAAAUACGAACCGGUUCGUAGCUUUUUUAGUUAAAAGUUAAGAGACGAUUUCUUAUAUUCU
rnacentral:pre_miRNA from 1 species